CGAAAGCCUGACGGAGCAACGCCGCGUGAGGGAUGAAGGCCUUUGGGCUGUAAACCUCUUUUCUCAAGGAAGAAGAUCUGACGGUACUUGAGGAAUAAGCCACGGCUAAUUCCGUGCCAGCAGCCGCGGUAAUACGGGAGUGGCAAGCGUUAUCCGGAAUUAUUGGGCGUAAAGCGUCCGCAGGCGGCCGUUUAAGUCUGUUGUUAAAUCGUGGAGCUCAACUCCAUCACGGCAAUGGAAACUGUUCGGCUUGAGUAUGGUAGGGGCAGAGGGAAUUUCCGGUGUAGCGGUGAAAUGUGUAGAUAUCGGGAAGAACACCAGUGGCGAAAGCGCUCUGCUGGACCAUUACUGACGCUCAUGGACGAAAGCCAGGGGAGCGAAAGGGAUUAGAUACCCCUGUAGUCCUGGCCGUAAACGAUGAACACUAGAUGUUGGGGGAAUCGACCCCCUCGGUGUCGUAGCUAACGCGUUAAGUGUUCCGCCUGGGGAGUACGCACGCAAGUGUGAAACUCAAAGGAAUUGACGGGGGCCCGCACAAGCGGUGGAGUAUGUGGUUUAAUUCGAUGCAACGCGAAGAACCUUACCAAGGCUUGACAUCCUGCGAAUCUCCGAGAAAUUGGAGAGUGCCUUCGGGAACGCAGUGACAGGUGGUGCAUGGCUGUCGUCAGCUCGUGUCGUGAGAUGUUGGGUUAAGUCCCGCAACGAGCGCAACCCACGUUUUUAGUUGCCAGCAUUCAGUUGGGCACUCUAGAAAGACUGCCGGUGACAACCGGAGGAAGGUGUGGACGACGUCAAGUCAUCAUGCCCCUUACGCCUUGGGCUACACACGUACUACAAUGCUGCGGACAAAGAGUAGCGAUCUUGCGAAAGUUAGCUAAUCUCGUAAACCGUGGCUCAGUUCAGAUCGUAGGCUGCAACUCGCCUACGUGAAGGAGGAAUCGCUAGUAAUCGCAGGUCAGCAUACUGCGGUGAAUACGUUCCCGGGCCUUGUACACACCGCCCGUCACACCAUGGAAGUUGGCCAUGCCCGAAGUCGUUACUCUAACCUUUUGGAAGAGGGCGCCGAAGGCAGGGCUGAUGACUGGGGUGAAGUCGUAACAAGGUAGCCGUAGCGGAAGCUGCGGCUAGAUCACCUCCUAA
rnacentral:rRNA from 1 species